CACCCCUCAAGCUAUGCUUGGUGUUGGGUGUCUGUCCUGCCGUCGGCAUGGACUCGCCUUAAAAUAAUUGGCAGCCACUUCAGCGGCUUUGAGCGCAGUAGAAUUGCGUCUCUGGCAGCAGAAGGUGGCCUCCAUAAGCUUUACUUUUUUA
rnacentral:misc_RNA from 1 species